UACGUAGGUGGCGAGCGUUGUCCGGAUUUACUGGGCGUAAAGGGAGCGUAGGCGGACUUUUAAGUGAGACGUGAAAUACUCGGGCUCAACUUGAGUGCUGCAUCUCAAACUGGAAGUCUAGAGUGCAGGAGAGGAGAAUGGAAUUCCUAGUGUAGCGGUGAAAUGCGUAGAGAUUAGGAAGAACACCAGUGGCGAAGGCGAUUCUCUGGACUGUAACUGACGCUGAGGCUCGAAAGCGUGGGGAGCAAACAGG
rnacentral:rRNA from 1 species